ACUCGAGCCACCGCUGUCCGUGAGGGACCCAGGAAAGGGGACGGAAGGAUCAACGUGCAGUGAGGCUGGGCUGGGAGCCUGACGACUGGACGCACAGGAGCCUCUUGGAAGGAAGUCGGUCGGAGAGUCCACCUGGUUCCUUCAUUUUGAAACAGGGCUCAAUAUGCUGAAUCCUGAAGACACAAGAUGCCAGGACCCAGGGCUAAUGGGACACAGAAGACAAAGGCUGCCCGAAUAAAUACCAUCACCAUUCAAAAAA